rnacentral:rRNA from 1 species
UACGGAGGGUGCAAGCGUUGUCCGGAAUCACUGGGCGUAAAGGGCGCGUAGGCGGCUCGGUAAGUAGGGGGUGAAAUCCUGCGGCUUAACCGGGGAACUGCAUCUGAUACUGGAUGGCUUGAGUUCGGGAGAGGGAUGCGGAAUUCCGGGUGUAGCGGUGAAAUGCGUAGAUAUCUGGAGGAACACCGGUGGCGAAGGCGGCAUCCUGGACCGACACUGACGCUGAGGAGCGAAAGCCAGGGGAGCAAACGGG